GCUACUAAUUAGUAAGGAACUCCCCUCACCUGGUUGUCUAGGCUACUAAUUAGUAAAGAACUGCCCUCACCUGGUUGUCAAGGCUACUAAUUAGUAAGGAACUGCCCUCACCUGGUUGUCUAACUCUUUGAGAGGAAACACCAGACCUGACAUUAGACAGUCAUUCAUAAGGGAGGGAGGGAGAAACAUUUUAAGACUGUUGGGACUAGCUUUUAGCUAGUGAGUCAUGACGUCAUGAUACCCUCAGUGUUAGAGACAGCAUCUAUUGAGAGAACCCUGCUGAAAACUAGUGAGUCAUGACACCCUCAGUGUUAGAGACAGCAUCUAUUGAGAGAACCCUGCUGAAGACUAGUGAGUCAUGACACCCUCAGUGUUAGAGACAGCAUCUAUUGAGAGAACCCUGCUGAAGACUAGUGAGUCAUGACACCCUCAGUGUUAGAGACAGCAUCUAUUGAGAGAACCCUGCUGAAGACUAGUGAGUCAUGACAUCAUGUUUCCCUCAGUGUUAGACAGCAUCUAUUGAGAGAACCCUGCUGAAGACUAGUGAGUCAUGACGUCAUGAUGCCCUCAGUGUUAGAGACAGCAUCUAUUGAGAGAACCCUGCUGAAGACUAGUGAGUCAUGACAUCAUGAUGCCCUCAGUGUUAGACAACAUCUAUUGAGAGAACCCUGCUGAAGACUAGUGAGUCAUGACGUCAUGAUGCCCUCAGUGUUAGAGACAGCAUCUAUUGAGAGAACCCUGCUGAAGACUAGUGAGUCAUGACAUCAUGAUGCCCUCAGUGUUAGAGACAGCAUCUAUUGAGAGAACCCUGCCGAAGACUAGUGAGUCAUGACAUCAUGAUGCCCUCAGUGUUAGACAGCAUCUAUUGAGAGAACCCUGCUGAAGACUAGUGAGUCAUGACGUCAUGAUGCCCUCAGUGUUAGAGACAGCAUCUAUUGAGAGAACCCUGCUGAAGACUAGUGAGUCAUGACAUCAUGAUGCCCUCAGUGUUAGAGACAGCAUCUAUUGAGAGAACCCUGCUGAAGACUAGUGAGUCAUGACAUCAUGAUGCCCUCAGUGUUAGAGACAGCAUCUAUUGAGAGAACCCUGCUGAAGACUAGUGAGUCAUGACGUCAUGAUGCCCUCAGUGUUAGAGACAGCAUCUAUUGAGAGAACCCUGCUGAAGACUAGUGAGUCAUGACAUCAUGAUGCCCUCAGUGUUAGAGACAGCAUCUAUUGAGAGAACCCUGCUGAAGACUAGUGAGUCAUGACAUCAUGAUGCCCUCAGUGUUCGAGACAGCAUCUAUUGAGAGAACCCUGCUGAAGACUUGAACUCAGGCUAAGAUGCUAUUUAUCAAACGAAAUGUCGUGUAUAUAGAAAUGCAUUCCUCAAUGGUGUUAUUAUUGUUAAAGCUUUAUUUAACUUGGCAAGUCAGUUAAGAACAAAUUCUUAUUUACAAAGACGGCCUACAGGGGCAGAACGACUGAUUUUAACCUUGUUCAGCUCGGGGAUUCGAUCCAUCAACUUGCCCAUCUCUCUAACCACUAGGCUACCUGCCUCCCAAGCAGUAUGGUUGAUUCACUAUCAGGUUUUCAUUCUGAGUGUUAAAUUUAUUGAAUUGAUCUGAUGAGUAUUGUAGAUGUGUGGAAACAGGAGAGGCAGGGCUGUGGUCAGAGGAUGUUGCUGACAGACAGAAGGUUGUAGAUGUGGGGAAACAGGAGAGGCAGGGCUGUGGUCAGAGGAUGUUGCUGACAGACAGAAGGUUGUAGAUGUGGGGAAACAGGAGAGGCAGGGCUGUGGUCAGAGGAUGUUGCUGACAGACAGAAGGUUGUAGAUGUGUGGAAACAGGAGAGGCAGGGCUGUGGUCAGAGGAUGUUGCUGACAGACAGAAGGUUUUAGAUGUGGGGAAACAGGAGAGGCAGGGCUGUGGUCAGAGGAUGUUGCUGACAGGCAGAAGGUUGUAGAUGUGGGGAAACAGGAGAGGCAGGGCUGUGGUCAGAGGAUGUUUCUGACAGACAGAAGGUUUUUAGUUGAGAGGUAAAAGGUUCCCUACAUAUUCAAGGUGUUUCUGUUCUGUUUGAAUCUGGAUUCUUUGCAGAGGGGAAGUGACCCGAAGAUGUUGCUGUAUCGUCCGUUUGCACUGGGAGGAGGCAGAAAGGCAGCGUUUCUGCUGUCCAGUGAGAUUCGAGCAGAAAUCAUCUGAUACCCAAUGAUAUUAGAUCUAUAUUUGUGUGGAAUACUUCAGGAAGGACCCCUGGACUUUGUCCACAUUUUGUUGUGUUACAGCCUGAAUUUAAAAUGGAUUAAAUUCAUUGUGUUUGACACUGUCCAACACACAAUAUUCCAAAGCAUGCAUCUUGUUUGCAACAAGGCACUAAAGUAACACUGCAAAAAUGUGGCAAAGAAAUUAACUUUUUGUCCUGAAUACAAAGUGUUACGUUUGGGGCAAAUCCAAUACAACACAUUACUGAGUACCACUCUCCAUAUUUUCAAGCAUAGUGGUGGCUGCAUCAUGUUAUGGGUAUGCUUGUAAUUGUUAAGGACUGGGGAGUUUUUCAGGAUAAAAAAAUAAACAGACUGGAGCUAAACACAGGAAGAAUUCUAGAGGAAAACCUGGUUCAGUCUGCUUUCCACCAGACACUGGGAGAGGAGUUCACCUUUCAUCAGGACAAUAAACCUAAAACACAAGGCCAAAAUCUACACUGGAGUUGCUUACCAAGAAGACCGUGAAUGUUCCUGAGUGGCCGAGUUACUGCUGACCUAAAUCUACUUCACAAUCUAUGUCAAGACCUGAAAAUAGUUGAGUAGCAAUGAUCAACAACCAAUUUGACAGAGCUUGAAGAAUUUUGAAAAGAAUAAAUGGGCAAAUGUUGCACAAUCCAGGUGUGGAAAGCUCUUAAGAGAUUUACCCAGAAAGCCUAGCAGCUUUAAUCACUGCCAAAGGUGCUUAUACAAAGUAUUGACCAUUAAGGUUUUCACUUUGUCAUUAUGGGGUAUUGUGUGUAGAUGGGUGAGAAUUAUUCACGCUCUGGCAAAUUGGUUGUUGAUCAUUGCUAGACAGCCAUUUUUUUUAUUAUAGGUCUUUCCAUAGAUGUUCAAGUAGAUGUAAGUCUAAACUAAACUAUCUAGUCAGGAACAUCCACUGUCUUGGUCGCAACUCUAGUGUAGAUUUGAUCUUGUGUUUAAGGUGUGAAUACAUGAGAUAUUUCAGCUCAUUUCUUUUUCAACACGUUUGCUAAAAUUUCUAAACACAUUUUCACUUUGUCAUUAUGGAGUUUUGUGUGUAGAUGGGUGAGAUAAAAAAAUAUAUAAAUUGAAUCCAUUUUGAUUUCAGGGUCAAAGGUUAUGACUACUGUACUUUCUGAAGGCACUGUAUCGAUGAAGAACCUGAAAACAUUUCACUUUUAAGAAAACAAAAGUAAAGUAUAAAUAAAGUAUAUUAAGUAUAAAUAAAGUAUAUUAAGUAUAAAUAAAGUAUAUUAAGUAUAAAUAAGAAUGUUUUUUGGGGGGUUCACGGUUGUUGUUGUUGACCAUUUUCACUUUGUAAAGAUUUUUCUAAAUUCCUUCAUGUCAGAGAACAAAAUUAAAGAUGAGUUAAAUCUA